CCUACGGGAGGCAGCAGUGAGGAAUCUUGGUCAAUGGCCGUAAGGCUGAACCAGCCAAGUAGCGUGAGGGAAGACUGCCCUAUGGGUUGUAAACCUCUUUUAUGCGGGGAUAAAGGUGUCCACGUGUGGCUGUUUGCAGGUACCGCAUGAAUAAGGACCGGCUAAUUCCGUGCCAGCAGCCGCGGUAAUACGGAGGGUCCGGGCGUUGUCCGGACUUGUUGGGUUUAACGGGAGCGUAGGCCGGUCUUUAAGCGUGCCGUGAAAUUUUGUGGCGCAACCAUGAGAGUGCGGCGCGAACUGGAGACCUUGAGUGCGCGGAAGGCAGGCGGAAUUCGUGGUGUAGCGGUGAAAUGCUUAGAUAUCACGAAGAACCCCGAUUGCGAAGGCAGCCUGCCGCAGCGUUACUGACGCUGAAGCUCGAAAGCGCGGGUAUCGAACAGGAUUAGAUACCCUUGUAGUC
rnacentral:rRNA from 1 species